AUUGAACGCUGGCGGCAGGCCUAACACAUGCAAGUCGAACGAGUGGCGGACGGGUGAGUAAUGUCUGGGAAACUGCCUGAUGGAGGGGGAUAACUACUGGAAACGGUAGCUAAUACCGCAUACCAUCGGAUGUGCCCAGAUGGGAUUAGCUAGUGGGUGGGGUAACGGCUCACCUAGGCGACGAUCCCUAGCUGGUCUGAGAGGAUGACCAGCCACACGGGAACUUAGACACGGCCCAGACUCCUACGGGAGGCAGUAUUGGGGAAUAUUGCACAAUGGGCGCAAGCCUGAUGCAGCCAUGCCGCGUGGAUGAAGAAGGCCUUCGGGUUGUAAAGUACUUUCAGCGGGGAGGCGUUACCCGCAGAAGAAGCACCGGCUAACUCCGUGCCAGCAGCCGCGGUAAUUC
rnacentral:rRNA from 1 species